GUUUUAUUGUAUCUUGAAAGCAUUUUUAAAUUUUUAAGGGAAUGUAUUUACACGCUUUAAAACUGUUAUAUUUUAGUAAUAUUGUUUUACUUUUCUUAUUUCAAUUUUUCUAUUUAACUUUUGUAACAAUUGUAAUAAGCCCAAUUGGCCCGGGCCCUUUACAAAACAAAAAUGGGCAGUCCAAGCCCAAUAAUCCUAAACCUAGCCCAACUAACAUCCCAAAUUCCCCAAACCCUAGCCGCAUGUUUGCUCAGCGCCUCCAGCACUCUCUAGUUGUCGCACGUCUCGGAGCCUCUUCCCUGCGCCGUAAUCUCCACGAAUACCUGCAUAACAGAUUCAAAGAGUCCAAUAGAGAAAUAAUAGGGUAAAGAAAUCAGUUUCGGGCUAUAUAUAAAGCCGUGUUAUUCUGUAAAAGAGGGGGAAUUUUCGGUAAAAGAUAUAUGAAAAUAGAGAGGAAAAUACAAAGAAAAACUGAAUACCAGUACUUUUCUUCGAAUACAAGGGUGAUUUUUAUUUCGUUUUACUUUGUAGUGUUGUUGUUCUUUCAUUCUUAUUUGAAUAUAUACAUAUAUUUUACAUAUUUUUUUUUAUUUUUUUACUUAAAAUAAAAAAGGAAAGCCUACCUUUUCACCGGAGCCACCGUGCCGCCACCAUCUCCGUCGCAAUCGGGGCUUGGGUGAAGGAGCAGGUGAUCGGCGACGCUAAAAAGGUUGAAGAAACCCUAGUAGGGUGAAUAAAAGGGCAGCAUUUAGUUUUAUUUUUUUAAAAUGGGCUAUCAGAAUUUUAAAAGGGAAAAUUUUGAUUUAAAUAGUGUUACAAAAAACGGCGCCGUUUCACCAAGGAGGAUCCGCAUGUUCUGCCCUUAAAUGGGAUAUUUUUGCUAUGGGUCCUUCCUUUUUGUGGCGCACUUCAAUUAAAUCCUUUUUUAUUUCUUUUAAUUUUAGCCUCACAUUUCGUUUCUGUCUCAAUUUAGUCCAUCACCGCACAACAUUUUAUGGACGGGAUUAAUUUCGCUUUUAGUCCUCCAUUGUUAGGCGAAUUUCCAAAUUAGUUUUUUUUUUAAAUUUAUUUCAAAUUUGCCCCCAUUUCCGUUUUAAUUCAAUUUGGAUCAUUUUUUUUCUUCAAUUAUUUCUUUUUUUAUCAUUAUACCAUUAUUAGUAUUAUUAUAUUACUUACUGUGAUAUUUACUGCCACAUUUUCUAUACCUGUACAUAUGCGUACUUUAUAUAGGCAUGUUUUUAUAUAUAUAUAUAUAUAUUUUCUAAGCUUUUGAAAUUCGUAUAUAUUAUAUAAGUACAUAUUGUUUUAUAGUUUAUAUACACUUACAUUUUAUACUUCAUUUUUUAUAUACCUUUAUAUACAUACAGAUUUUCACACACAUAUGUUUUUUUUCCAUAGUUUAUUUAUAUAUUAUAUUUAUAUAUAUAUUGUUCUUUUAUUGUAAAUAUAUACGCAUAUACAUACGUUUUCAUUUUUUUUUCUACUUUUAUAUACUUUAUAUAUAUAUAUGCUAAUACAUUUUCCUUAUUAUUGAAAGUAUAUACACAUCUGCAUGUUUUUAUACUCUUAUUUUAUGGUCAUUACAUAUAUACAAGUAUAUUUUUAGGAAUUGUUAUAGGUUUGCAGUAUAUUUCUUCACUUACCUUUUCAUGUAUUCCUAUAUUUAUGCAUGUUAAAUAUGUGUGUACACAUAUUCGCAAAGCUUGUAUAUUGCACUUGUAUAUAUAUUUUGUAAAUACAUUCUCAUAUAUGUCUUACAUUAAAGUUUUUGUUUCAUAUCGUACAUUAACUUUAACAUACCCUUUUAGAAAAUACAUUUUGGUUUUAACUAUACAUCAAGAUUAUUUUCUUGAUUCAACUGUUUUUUUUUUGAAUAAAAACAAUAUUUGAAGUUUGGGAUUGAUGAGGGAAAUUGAGCCCUAACGUAUUGGGUUCUGAUUUUCUUUGUUAGUCUUGAAUAAUUGAGAAUAUUCUUUAUUUUAAAUACAGGAGCACCAAAAAAAAUCAUUUUUGGGAACUUAAUUUGUUAUGCCCUAACGUAUUGGGUGUGACAUAUUACUUUCUCAAAAUAGAGAUUUUCGCAUAAAAUAAAAGUGAUAUUCAAAGUUCGGGGAUUAUGAGGAAUUGUACCCUAACGUAUUGGGACUCGAUUUCUUUACAUGACUUGAACAAUUGGUUAUCCUUUUGCAAAUUUCAUCAUUCAAGCUUAUUUUAAAAUCUUUUUAACUUUCGACACUAGGACAUCAAAUAAUCAAUUUGGUAUCGAUUUUUGGGCGUUACGAGGGUGCUAACCCUUCCUCGUGCGUAACUGACUCCCGAACCUUUUUUCUAAAAAUUCGCAGACCAAAAUCGUUUUUAAGGUGAGUCGAUCACACCUCAAUCAAGGAUCGGUGGCGACUCCAAUUUUUGUUUUUUUAAAGUCGACAACUUAAAUUUUUGUUUUCAAAAAAACGGUUUUGACAGCUUGGCGACUCCACUGGGGACAUUAGAGAGUCGAGCCACAAAAUUGAUUAUGUUUGUCUUUGUGUCGAAAAUCAAAAGUUUUUAAAUAAUUCAUGAGUUCCCUUCGCACUCAUUGAUUUUUCAUCAUGGUGUUGGCAACUUUGCAUUUGCAUUUUACCCUUUAAGUGGGAGCGAGAAACUAGCCCUUCGUGAGGUUUUCACCACCGUGCAGGGUAGUGGACCGCUUCCGGGAUACAUCCGUACCUAUGUCUUCGUGAGAUUUUCAUUUCCGUGCAGCCAUAAGGAAAUGUAUCCCUCUGAACUGAACUCGAUCCACAUGAGCCUAUAAUGGGUGAGGAUCGAGGAAUCUGCUGGUUCAAGAACCCUUACUCUAGAAACUAAGCCUCAUAUAGUGAGCUUUAGGAACUUACCCUAGGUAGAAGUACUCUAAACCUUAGUAGAUACCUGACUAGGAGUUUUUAUUAUUUCUUAAUUGUAUUGGAUUUAAUGUUUAUACUUGAUACUGACUUGGGUUUAUUUUGUUUUGAUUGCAUGACAUCAUGAUUACAUUACAUUUUCAUUAUAGAAAAGAGGUGUUGAUUCACAUUCGAUUACUAACUUAGAAAGCUUGUCAUGGAAUACGGAUUUCUUGAUAAAGUGGAAAAUAAUAUGGUUGCCUGAAUAUAUUCCAAGAAACACAAGAAGGGCGACAGAAGUGUUCGUGACUUUACUUCAUUGCCCGAGGAUUCAAGCUGAUUAUUCAAAAGUUUUCGAUAAUCUAACUUCCUUAAAGAAGCCGAUGAGCAUUAUGAAGAUGGGCAGAUGAUGGAUAUCAACCAAGAUUAAACAAAAAGAGAUAGAAGAGACGCUCCUUUUAAAGAAUUCGCAAGGUUUAUCCUAGCAUCCGGAUGGAGAAGGAGAAGAUGUCUUCGGCUGGAAUAUGAGGGCAAAGCCGUAUAUAUAUCUGCUUUAUGUAAAGAAAUUUGUCUUCUAGUAAAGUUUUUUAAAUGUAAUUGAAUCAAAGUUAACAUCUCUUUAGGCCUUCAUUUCGUGCAUUUGCAUUACAUGACAUAGUAUGCAUUAACGUCCACUAAAAGAGCCUAAUCGAUAAAAUCAUUGCUCAGUUAACCUGGAAACCAACCAACCAACCAAGCACCGUUACGGCACUCGAGCAAAGAUUAAAGAUAUGGAUCACAGGUUGGAAAAACUCCAACAGUGUCAGAAGGAGAUGCAAGACCGACUUCAGCUACAGGUGCAAGAGCGGUUAGACAAGAUGAAACAAGAGAUGUCUGAGAAGAUGUGAGAAUCCCAAGAUGAUAUUAUGGCGAAGCUAACCAAACUGUUGACUAGAGGAGAUGAUAAGGGAAAGGGUCCCAUGGCUGAUGUCGAAGUGGGUAAUGAACCACUCUAUCCUCCAGGCUUUACUCCUCCACAUGUUCGAACUCAAGCUGAAUAUCCAUACAAACCCACUGUCACAAUCAGGCAUCAACAGUCCCAGGCCAGUGUUUCGAACUUUCAAGCUAGAUUGGGCUCUAACCCCGAAAAUUACCCUGUUAACUCUGCCAUUCCCGACUUCGAUGAAGUGGCUGAAAAGGAAAGAAUAAAGGAGGAGUUACCGAAACAGUUAGAGGAAAAGUGUAGGUGGCUCGAGGAAAAGUUUAAGGCGAUGGAGGUCACUGAGAGUUAUCGAGGCAUUGACGCCAAAAAGCUGAGUUUAGUACCGGAUUUGGUACUCCCUCAUAAAUUUAAGAUGCCAAAAUUUGAGAAGUACAAUGGGACAAGUUGCCCAGAAGCUCAUAUCACCAUGUUCUGCAGGCGAAUGGCCAGAUAUGUUAGCAAUGACCAGCUUUUGGUACAUUGUUUCCAGGAUAGCCUAGUAAGGGCAGCAUCCAAGUGGUACAAUCAACUGAGCCGUACCAUGAUUGGUUCAUGGAGGGAUUUGGCACAAGCGCUCAUGAAAUAAUAUAGCCAUGUAGCAGAGAUGGCUCCUGAUAGAAUCACCCUUCAAAAUAUACAGAAAAACCGAGCGAAAGCUUUAGACAAUAUGCACAAAGAUGGAGGAAAGUCGCAGUCCAAGUUCAGCCACCGCUCUUAGAGAAAGAAAUGACCAUGCUGUUUAUUAACACACUGAAGGCACCGUUCAUUACGCAUAUGUUAAGGAGUGCUACAAAAAGCUUUCCUGAUAUAGUUAUGAAUGGAGAGAUGAUCGAGGAUGCCAUAAGAAGUGGGAAAAUUGAUGUAGAGGAGAGUAACACGAGAUCAAUCUCAAGGAAAAGAGAAAAUGAGGUGAACAACACGAGUUACUCUAAACCAGUUAUUGUGAGUCAGCCAAGAAAGGUGGCUACUAACCAACAAGGUUUAUUAAGAUAAGAAUCUAGAAUGAAACCAGGUACUGAGAAGCUCCAGUUCACACCAAUUCCGAUGUCGUAUAAGGAACUGUAUCAAAAUUUGUUUGAUGCACAUGUUGUUUCCCCUUUUCAUGUGAAGCCUCUACAACCUCCGUAUCCCGAAUGGUAUGAUGCGAACGCACAAUGUGAAUACCAUGCGGGAAUUAAGGGGUACUCCUUUGAGAAUUGCACUACCUUCAAGAAGUAAGUUGAAAGACUUAUCAACAUGGGUAUUGUCAAGUUUGGUGACUCGUCUAGCGCAGAAAAUCCGCUACCCAAUCAUGAUUAAGGAUGGAGGGACUGCAAUGUAUGAGAAAGUGGUGAGAAAUUUACACAUCGAUGCCAUAUAUGCAGAUACAAUUAAAAGGGUCAUUGUUAGAUAUCCGCUUUAGAGGUGUUCUAAAUAAUGGGACUGGAGAGGAAACCCCUGAAAUAUUUAGAGUCUAUUAGAGUAAUGUUCAGAACACACUUGUUGUUUUUAGCCUAGAGGCAAUAAGAAUUCCUUUAUGAAAUAUGCUCACGUCUGAAUAUUCUUAUUUUAAUGAAUACAUUAUUGCAAUCAUCUUUGAGCAAAUGUUCUUUCAGUCUUUACGUUUUCUUCGUUCUUUUUGAUUUUUUCUGCCAAACCAUUCAUUCGUUCAUUCAUAUUAUUCAUACAUUCUUUUGUAUAUUCUUUGGUACCCAUUAUGGGUCCCCAAAUAUCAAUGACAUGAGUGACGCUGCUACAGACCCAGAAUCUCCUCUUGAGUGAGACAUGUGUUUAGAGGGAUCUCACAACUUUGAGGAUGACAUGGAUUGUAGCUUAUUUCUGGACUUAUUAAGGAUGGUAGAGCAGGAAGAAAAUUUUACCUCAUGAGGAGACAAUAGAAACUGUGACCUUGAGGGAACAUGCAUGAUCGAAAAAACAAAGCAAGACGUUGUUGAGUUACUUCAAGCAUUCAAAGAUGCCUUCGCAUGGUCAUACCAGGAUGUACCCAGUUUAAGCACUGUCAUUACAAUUUGAACAACAGCCCGAUAUCAGGAAUUUGUAGUAUGUUCAAGGUGAAUACCAUGAAUGGUGCAGUGAAAACUCUACCGGGGCAAUGCCACUCUUUUCAGUUUAUCACGCUUUUUCAUUAAAGUUAAAAUUCCUUCUUUUCGAGUUCUGACUGAGCUGAAGUAGGAUAAAGAUCCAAUCUCGACACGAUUAGUUGAACUUAAUUGAAGAAAAAGGCUAGAAACUAUUCAUCAGGGUCAGAUGUACCAAGAAUGAACGAUGCGAGCCUAUAGCAAAAGGUUUGUCCCAGAGAAUUCCACGAUGGCAACCUAAUGCUGAAGAAUGUCCCCACUCUACAAAAAAAUAUAACGGAUGCCAAAUUGGGUAGAACAUUAUGUUAUAGAGAAGGUCUUUUCCAAAGGAGCUUUGAUUUUGAGCGAGAUGGAUGAUAAACCUGUAAAGUCUUGUAAACUCAGAUUCAGUCAGGAAAUACUCUGCUUAAAGAAGGAGAUGACCAAGGUAAAAACCCGCAAAGGGCACUUUGAGUCAUUAAAAAUGAUGAAAUGAAAAAAUGAAAAGAUAAAAAUAAAAAAUGAAAAAAGUAAAAUGGAGAGGCUAAGGUGAAAUCCCGCAAAGGGCACCUUAGACCAAAGGGGAUUUGAGUUGAAAACCCGAAAAGGGUGGCUCAAAUAUUGAUCAGAAUGUGGCAUGAGAUUAUCGGAGUAGCUCAAAUACUGAUCAGCAUGGGGCAUACAGUGGUCUUGCUAUACUUGAAUCAACAGGAAAGGGUAGGCGACAUUUUGGGGCAUCAAAAAAGUACUGUAGAUCUCCUAAACACAUGUCAAACUCAGAAUGAUUUUCAGAAAGUCUGUACAGCAAAGUUCAAGCUGCGAUAUCUGGGGCACCUAAUCCUUAUACUAUUUUUGUUAUUCUUGGAACACUUUAUUCAUUUCCAAGAUACGCAUUCCUAAAUCAAUGUCUUUGUUAUCCAUCUUUAUUAUCUCUGAUAAUUUAUUCAUUUCGAGUUAUGCUCAGAACCAAUUCAAUUUUAUCCAUCAUUUUGUUCUCUUUGCAAGUGUGUUGCAUUAUAGUAAUGAUUAAUAGACUAAUACAACUUUCACAAGGGAAGUUUUGCAUAUUACUCUAGAAGUUUCUAAAUAAUAUAGGAACCUUAAACAGGACUAUUGUUUAGAACGCACCAAGUUCAAAGGUUGGAAAUCUAAUAAGGAAGAGUCUAAAUUAAUACUAUCCCUUUGAAUUUUGUUGUCUAAAACAUCGAUUGAACAAAAUGGCAAUAUGUCGUGUUGGUGACAAAGCUUAGAUUAACAAGCAAGCAAUGAUCACCGAAUAAUAAUAAGAAGUUGUUCUUGGAGAAGAAAAUUUUUCAUUUGUGCACGAGCAUUUGGUAGGACACCUAGGGAAUGGUGUAAGAGACCAAAGAGUUUCACAUCCUGUAUCCCUGAAUUGUGAUAACAGAUGAUUAAGAAAAUGCCAAAUCUUUUUACUCUUGGGUUACAACGGGAGAAAGAUGGUACAAAUUUUGCGCCCUAAUAGAUCAAACUUGGAGGUUUACAAUGGGGGGCAAUCUGGUCAAGUGUUUCUUUAGAGACGCCAACUGAGCAAGAAGACGCUAUAACACAUUAGCGAUGAAACUUUAACUUUGAGUAAUGAUAGCCUAAGUGAUAAAGAAGGAUCAUUCUCAAAACAUGACAUUCUGCAUUCAUUCAAAUAUCAUUCAUACACGUCUAGUUAGGAGCAUUUGAUUCAUUCUGAUCAUGUCAUCCUAAUCACUAGGCAUAAUUAGGUUCAUAAAUUGAAUUAUACAGGUCAUGUUCCCCAGAGAAUAAACUGGCAAAACCAUAGAUCUUACUUCCUUAGCAGUGCAAUGAAACAGAUUGAAGCUACGACGGCGGAUCUGGUUUUCCUGAUAUUGUAAUUAAAAAGAUUGAAGCCACAACGGCGGAUCUUACUUCCUUAGCAGUGCAGUGGAACAGAUUGAAGCUACGACGGCGGAUCUGGUUUCCCUGAUAUUGCAAUUAAAAAGAUUGAAGCCACAACGGUGGAUCUUACUUCCUUAGCAGUGCAGUGGAACAGAUUGAAGCUACGACGGCGGAUCUGGUUUCCCUGAUAUUGUAAUUAAAAAGAUUGAAGCCACAACGGCGGAUCUUCCCUCCUUAAUAGCGCAAUGGAAUAGAUUGAAACUACGACGGCGGAUCUAGUUUUCCCGACAUUGCAGUUGAGUAGAUGAAGAUUACAGAUCUUAUCUCCCUAAGCAGUAGUGGAGCAGAUCAAAGAUGGCAGAUUUUACCUCCCUGAGGUUGCAGAGGAGUAUAUUGAAGCCAGUAAUUUUAUUCCCCCAGUCGGUAGUGGAAUUGAUCGAAGAAAGCAGAUCUUGUCUUCAUGUACUGGCAUGAAGUAGAUCAAAGAAACAUAUCUUGUCUCCCCAUACUGGUGGUGGAGUAGAUAGAAGAAAAUAGAUCUUAUCUUCAUGUACUGGCGUGAAGUAGAUCAAAGAUAGUAGGUCCUGUCUUCCUAUAUCGGUAGCGAAGUGGAUCGAAUAUACAGAUUUUAUCUUCCCAUACUGGUGGCGAAGUAGAUAAAGAUUACAGAUCUUAUCUCCCUAAGCAGUAGUGGAGCAGAUUAAAGAUGGCAGAUUUUACCUCCCUGAGGUUGCAGAGGAGUAUAUUGAAGCCAGUAAUUCUAUUCCCCCGGUCGGCAGUGGAAUUGAUCGAAGAAAGUAGAUCUUGUCUUCAUGUAUUGGCGUGAAGUAGAUCGAAAAAAGCAGAUCUUGUCUUCCCAUACUGGUGGUGAAGUAGAUCGAAGAUACAAGUCUUAUCUUCCUGAAGUUGCAGUGGAGCAGACAAAAGUAACCAAUCCUAUCUCUUUGAAGUUGCAAUCGAGUGGAUUAAAACCGCAGAUCUCAUCUCUCUGAAGUUGCAGUAGAGCAGAUCACAUCAGAUUUACCCUUAAGUUGUAACAGAACAAGUUGAAGCUAUAAGUCUUAUCCCCCUGAAGCUGCAGUGGAGCAGACUAAAGAUAGUAAAUUUUGUUCUUUCUGAGAAGUUGCAACGUACGAAACCUAUCUCCCUGACAUUGUAGUGGAGUAGAUUGGAGCACCAGUUCCUAUACCUCUGAAGAUGCAGUAGGAAGGAACGAGGCUACUUGAAGAAGAGAAGCAUUGAAUAAGACCAGGCACAAUUGGGCGUUGUAGUCUUUGCUCUAUUCCCGUUACACGAAAAUGAGCAAAGAGGGGCAACUGUAAUAAGCCCAAUUGGUCCGGGCCCUUUACAAAACAAAAAUGGGCAGUCCAAGCCCAAUAAUCCCAAACCUAGCCCAACUAACAUCCCAAAUUCCCCAAACCCUAGCCGCAUGUUUGCUCAGCGCCUCCAGCACUCUCUAGUUGCCGCACGUCUCGGAGCCUCUUCCUUACGCCGUAAUCUCCAUGAAUACCUGCAAAACAGAUUCAAAGAGUCCAAUAGAGAAAUAAUAGGGUAAAGAAAUCAGUUUCAGGCUAUAUAUAAAGUCGUGUUAUUCUGUAAAAGAUGGGGAAUUUUCGGUAAAAGAUAUACGAAAAUAGAGGGGAAAAUACAAAGAAAAACUGAAUACCAGUACUUUUCUUCGAAUACAAGGGUGAUUUUUAUUUCGUUUUACUUUGUAGUGUUGCUGUUCUUUCAUUCUUAUUUAAAUAUAUACAUAUAUUUUACAUAUUUUUUAUUUAUUUUUUUACUUAAAAUAAAAAAGGAAAGCCUACCUUUUCGCCGGAGCCAUCGUGCCGCCACCAUCACCGUCGCAAUCGGGGCUUGGGUGAAGGAGCAGGUGAUCGGCGGCGCUAAAAGGGUUGAAGAAACCCUAGCAGGGUGAAUAAAAG
rnacentral:lncRNA from 1 species